rnacentral:rRNA from 1 species
GAACGCUGGCGGCGUGCUUAACACAUGCAAGUCGAACGAUGAAGCCCUUCGGGGUGGAUUAGUGGCGAACGGGUGAGUAACACGUGGGCAAUCUGCCCUGCACUCUGGGACAAGCCCUGGAAACGGGGUCUAAUACCGGAUAAUACUCUCGCAGGCAUCUGUGAGGGUUGAAAGCUCCGGCGGUGCAGGAUGAGCCCGCGGCCUAUCAGCUUGUUGGUGAGGUAGUGGCUCACCAAGGCGACGACGGGUAGCCGGCCUGAGAGGGCGACCGGCCACACUGGGACUGAGACACGGCCCAGACUCCUACGGGAGGCAGCAGUGGGGAAUAUUGCACAAUGGGCGAAAGCCUGAUGCAGCGACGCCGCGUGAGGGAUGACGGCCUUCGGGUUGUAAACCUCUUUCAGCAGGGAAGAAGCGAAAGUGACGGUACCUGCAGAAGAAGCGCCGGCUAACUACGUGCCAGCAGCCGCGGUAAUACGUAGGGCGCAAGCGUUGUCCGGAAUUAUUGGGCGUAAAGAGCUCGUAGGCGG